ACGAGAUCUGGAUGUAUUGUACGAGGCUAGUUGUGAACGGAAAGCGACUUUGUAAUUUUAAGUACAGCAGCUUUCAAAUUACAAUUGACACACUUGCGCUACAAUCAAAUACAUACUUCCAUAAUUGAUGUGUGCACGACCGCUUGCAUUUGUUUAUUUAGCACAUAUUGGACCGCCUGCAAGCACAUUUGCACGCGCUUAUUUGACGCGUUUAGGGGUUAAUUUAGCGCCUGCGCCUGCUUACUUUACACGCGUAGCAUUAACAAGAUUGCGUUUUGACCACGUGCUGUAAGACCCAAUCGGCGUUCCAUAAUAUUGAAGCAUGUCGAGGUAUCGUCCAGGCACAACGGACGACUGAUUGAACGACACAUUUGGAGGUGGCAGUUGAGUUGCCUGCUAAUCAACAUUAGCUAUAUUGAGAGCUGUCAAGCUAGCUAGUUACUUGUCUGUCACAUUGGACACAAGGGACUGUGGACGAGUGGCUCUACCGCCAGCUACAUCCUAUUAUUUUGCACUCAGUUACCAUGUGGCCCUGCAUAACAAUAUUUAGGCCGCUUCUAUUGAAAUUAAGAAGCGGGUAUGCUUUCUCCAAGGGCACUCAGCCAACGUUAGUGUCACCAAGCAAACUGAUCUUCAGACCUAGUGCAUCAUGUACAGGGGCGGGAAGAAAUGGGCUCGACCAACAGAAUACUUACUACACGGGGUUGAAGACCUACAACAGCCUCCCACAACCAGAAAGAUCCACUGGUAUUGGCUCAGGAAGGAAUUGCUACUUGAAAAACAGUCCUGGCCAGAAUGUACGAGGAGGAAUUUAAAAAUGACAUGUUAGCCGUGAAGGUUGUUCCUCCUGCUGUGCACUUGAGAGUCACUAAGAAUAUACUGCAAAUUGUGGCUUUCAUCGAGGGCAUCAUCAGAAAUGAACACGCCUAUGUCACAAAACAAGGGACGUGUAUUUCGAUAUCAGGUCCAUCGGGGACCGUUACGGCAAGCUUAUGGGGGCUGGCGAUGCAGCUGGUGAGCCUGGGGACACAGAGAAACGAAACAGCAGGGAUUUUGCCCUGUGGAAGGCUUCCAAACCGCAGGAGCCCUCCUGGAAGUCUCCCUGGGGCAAGAGAAGACCCGGCUGCCACAUCGAAUGCUCCACCAUUGCCAGCUCUGUGUUUGGAAGUCAGCUGGAUAUUCACUCUAGGGGUGUUGAUCUGGUCUUCCCUCACCAUGAGAAUGAGAUCGCCCAGUGUGAGGCCUACCGCCAGUGUGGCCAGUAAGGGAACUACUUCCUGCACUCAGGACUUCCUAGAAUCUUACUCCGCCAAUGAAUUCUGAAUGUUCUGCCUGCUGACCAAAUACAGAUCAGCAAUCAACUACAGUGACGCCAGCUUGAACGAAGCCUGGAGCUCCCUGGCAACCACUACUGCCUUCACCCAUGAUGCCCAGGCCUACAUGAGGGGCCAGCUACAGUGCCAGGCUGUGCAGGAGGGGGCAUUAUGGAAAGGUUAGCUGAAACCAAAGCAAACGUCGUCAGAUGACUUUGAAACGCCAAGGGUCGUCAACGCCAUCAUGAGCCUUGUUUACCAUGGGAACCGCCAUCUUCAGCCCAUCACUAAGGAGGCUCAUUCUGUAGAUUCUUCGGGGACCCUAGAGAACAUGGUGGAGCAGUUGGCUCGGUUCCGUAGGGAUGUGCGGACCUUCGCUUUGUCCGUGGAAGACACGCCCCUUGGAGAGCCCACCCAUCCCAGUCCAAGACCACACUCAGAAAGGGUACCCCUCAAAGCCUGUGACACCCUGCGGGAAAGACCUUGCACCUUUGGGAGUGCACAUAAGGGGUCACAGACAGCUGUUGUGCUCAAGUUCACAAGUGAAGGACCGAGGCCCCAAGUCCACGUGGGAGAUUUCUCAGAAGAKGCCAGCUGGCCAGGAUAAGGAAAAGUAGAACAGAAUUGCAAACAGAAUGAGCUUAGAUUUUGAGUUUUGUAUGUCCUGGUUUGGAUGAAGAUUAAGGACUACCACAAAGACUGAGAGACAUGGAAUUGUGGGUUGGAGCUGCAAUGAUGUUGUUGGCGGUUUACUCAAAACUUUGGAAGGAUUGGUAUAAUGGAAUUUCAGUCAUGGGUAGGGUUGUACAUUUUGUGGAAUAUUCAGAGGUGGAAAUUUUCCAUUGGAAUUAAUGGAAGUAUAUGCAAAUUAAUAUGAAUACUGUUUAA